AAAUUCUAAGAUCCAACACAAACCGCCUAAAACCCUGGCGAGCCCAGAUAUUCUAAGAAGCCACCAUAUCAUCAAUAUAUGGUGAACAUUGUGCCUCUUGAAACCACGAUCUUGGGGAAUUUACUCUGUAUGUCUUUUUUUGUACAUUGAAAAACACACCAUGUUUUGUUGAAACAUUUAUAGUGCAAAGGAUGAUUCUACAUGUUUCUUCACUUUGAACUGAUGGGCAAUAUUUUCCAGUGAAGACCCAAUUGAUUCUGAUGCACUAUAAUUUUGCAUUACGAGUGAAAGCCUUCAAAAUUGAUAUGCCAGUGUUGAGUGUGCGUAUUUGGUUCAUCAAAUGUAGGAACAGAACAUUAUCUCAGGACACCUUCUUACACAGCGUCAAAACUGUGAAUGCGAGAUACUUGAAUCUGAUGAUGAAUGUUUUCCUGUGAUGAAUCUUACUCUUCAGGUUGGAAUUUUAAACUUUAUGUAGGAAUUCAAGGAUAAUACUAAUUUUUUGUAGGGUGCUUAUCGAUGGUUCAUCAAAUGAGGAAAUGUAAUACUGUUUUAGGACACCUCUUUAGGACACCUCCUUACGCAACCCUAAAGCUGUGGAUGAGAGAAUUAAAUCUGAUGACAAACAAUCUGUUUUUUAACGUCGAUUUUUCCAUUUCAGGUGCAAACUUUACCAAUAGCAUCGAGAUUGCAGGUUUCAGUAAGCAUGUUUCAGUAGCUGGAGUGUUUCCAUUGGCUUUUUUAUUAACUGAAGUCUGUUUAUUUUAGCCUCAAAUGAUCUACGUGUCAUUCCAGAGGGCCAUGCCAUAAUCACCAUUAAAAUCUAGGUUUUUUUAAUACUAUAUGGAUCUUUUAGCUAUCUGUGCAUAAAAUUGCUGCCCUGAUUUAACUCAUUCAGUCCAAACUGUAAUAGAUAUUUUGCAUUACCUUGUCCACAGAUACUGUCUGAUGAUGCUCAGAAGUGUCCCCGCAAUGAAUUAGAUUAUAAAAUGUGGAACAUGUGGGCAAAUCUUUUUCACAAAAUGAAUUGGUAAAAUUUGGAAACGAGUAAAUUGAACUUACUUGGAAUUUGUUGCCAUUCUUUUUUGAUUUAGAACUUUCUUGGGAAGCCUCAUCAGCCACAUUGGGAACAUAUAUUUGUAUCAGAUUUGUCAUUACUGUUUUCGGCCAUGUUUGAUAGCCUGAGAAGUAUUAUUUCUGCUUAGAGAGUACUUGCUUUAAUUUUCAACUCUUGCUAUUUAGACAGGACUACACUGCAAAGGUGUUUUAUUGGAUUCAAGUUCUCGAUAGUUUCUUUUUCAACUAGAGAAAAAUUGAGCUCCAUGCAUAUGUGAUCAUGUGCUUUGUGUUUUUGUACGGCACGCUUGAGGUUUUGUGGCUUUGUAACUGCUUAUAGUCAAGCUCUUUCAUGUGUAAUCUUGUUUGUGUUUCUAUGGUAUUCUCUUUGGCAAGACAGCAUUCUCUCACUUCAGGCACUUAUUUAUAACUUUCUUUAUUAAUUCUAGUUACACUCACCUACAGUGAUCAUGUGAACUGAUGGCCCUUUAUGACUGGAUACACUUCUCAUUGCUGAUAAUUUAAAAUUUUGCUGAAUUGGCUGAAGUUCCAUCUUCUAUCACAGGUAGGCACUUACCUACAUUUUUGUGAUGUCCCCUACUUAUCUAUUUCAAUAUACUAAAAUUGAUUGAUAUUCAUGAAUUAAUUAUUAACAAGUAUUUUUUUUCUUCUGUUAGAUGAUUAAUUUCAUGAUUCAUUGUUUUUAAUAUAGAUAUCAGACCCUGCUACUACUUCAAUUUAAGGGAGAAGGGUUUAUGUAUGUUAUUAAAGCGUUUAGAGACCAAAUACAAUAGGUUCCCUCAAAGUUUACAGAUCCAAACCCUUACCUAUCUUGGGUCUAUAACUUCAAGGCUUAUGGGUCGCUGAUCCCCAGCCUAUCUUAGGACUUAACCUAUUGCUUGGAUUUAGACUGCCCCUCUUUGGAAUAUCUCAUUCACAACUUCUUAACAUGGUUUAGACUAUAAGUAUAGUAAUUUCUUAUGUAUUAUGAAUAUAUAUAUAUAUGAAAUUAAGUAUGACUGUCAUACAUAUUGCAGUCCAUAUUACUAUUAAUUCUGCAUGAAAACAUUAUCAGGUUUCAUAUAUUAAACAUAUAUAUUGCAGUCCAUAUUACUAUUAAUUCUGCAUGAAAACAUUAUCAAGUUUGAUAUAUUAAGCAUACAUUCUCAGCUCAUCUCCGUGCAUACCACCAAGAACAAAGAUGUUACUGCCUGUAACUUAAUAACAGUUCUGAUCCUAUCAAUCCAUGGUGAUGUUAUUGGAUGCUUUGAUUCCUUUCUUCUAAAUCUCUCAAUGUGAGGGAGAGGUCACACCUCUUCAUCAUGCAUGCCUUUUGGCAAGAGACACACCCUUUCACCAUUAGCACCUUUUAUAAUCAGAGUUGCACUUUUAUAAUCAGAUUUGCACUUUCUAUUUAAAUUAGAGCCCCACUUCUCAUUUUUCAAAUUCUCCCCCCCUCAAAUGAGUUUCUCUUCUCCCUCUUAUCAUUUCAUGCCUUUUGACCUUUCAUUAACUAUAAUCAAAUUUUAAUUAUAUUUAAUUAUAUUCUUUUAUAUUUUAAUUUUAAUUUUUAUAUUUAUUAUUUUAUAUUUAUUUUUUUAUGUUUUAAUUUUAUUAUUAUUUAUUAUUAAAUUAUUUUUCAAAAUAGGGACAUUCCAAUUUUAUCAUACAAACUCCAGCUACACUCACAUGCGGUGACUAUGCGAAGCACCUUUUAGGAUCGGUUUGCAACAGAUGUUUUAUUCGUAGUGGUUGAGUAGUGUACAUUUGCAUUCAUAUUUUUUAAGCUGUGGUUAAGCUUAACUAGCACACUGAAGUGUUCAGAGCUUAGCUGGCUUGUGUGGGGUCCAUUCCAUCUGUUCUCUUCAGUAGUGCCUUGUUCCAUUUUUCUCAGCAGUCCGUUUACCAUGGCAGGCAGCAGUCAGCUGACCAGUUCCUGCCCAUAAUCCAAACCAAACUCAAAACCGAUCCUACACUGCAAAAGUUUGGUGGAUGGUAGUAACGAGUUUGAUCACAUAAAAGAAAGAGAGCCUCUCAUGGAAUGUUUUGUUAUUGCAGCGGACAGAAGCCAUGUGAAAAUGCCCUGAUAGACAGGAUUGCAAAAUGUGGAAGCACAGACAAGGGACGUGAACCAGUUUGAUCGAAUGCCUCAAUGAAAUGUGGUCUCAUAGUGAUUCCAGGAUAUACACAAAAUGGAUUUUUGGAAAAGCCUUCAUGAACUUUCAAGCAAAUGCAAUUGGCAGAUGUAAAACCAAAUUCCGCAACUUUUGUGAGCAGCUUCCUUCCCUGUGAAAAUGUAAUCCUUUAAAUGAUUAAGGACAGAAGAAUUUGGUCAAAUAUUGUAGUUGCAAUUACCCUGU